rnacentral:rRNA from 1 species
UACGAACGCUGGCGGCGUGCCUAAUACAUGCAAGUCGAACGCAGUGGGGACGGGUGAGUAACACGUGGGUAACCUCCCAUCAGAGGGGAUAACACUUGGAAACCGGUGCUAAUCCGAUACUGAUGGAUGGACCCGCUGUGCAUUGGCUAGUUGGUGAGGUAACGGCUACCCAAGGCCACGCUGCAUAGACGACCUUAGAGGGUGAUCGGCCACACUGGGACUGAGACACGGCCCAGACUCCUACGGGAGGCAGCAGUAGGGAAUCUUGGGCAAUGGGCGAAAGUCUGACCGAGCAACGCAGCGUGAGUGAAGAAGGUUUUCGGAUCGUAAAACACUGUUGUUAGAGAAGCGGUAUCUAACCAAUAAGCCACGGCUAACUCCGUGCCAGCAGCCGCGGUAAUAC